rnacentral:rRNA from 1 species
AGCAGUCGCCACGGGAAUACGGAGGGGGCAAGCGUUAUCCGGAAUUAUUGGGCGUAAAGGGUACGUAGGUGGCCUUUUAAGCGUAGGGUAUAAGGCAAUGGCUCAACCAUUGUUCGCCCUAUGAACUGGAAGGCUUGAGUGCAGGGGAGGAAAGCGGAAUUCCUAGUGUAGCGGUGGAAUGCAUAGAUAUUAGGAGGAACAUCAGCGGCGAAGGCGGCUUUCUGGACUGCAACUGACACUGAGGUACGAAAGCGUGGGGAGCAAACAGGAUUAGAUACCCCCGUAGUCCCUGUCUCUUAUACA